rnacentral:rRNA from 1 species
UAGUCCACGCCGUAAACGAUGUCAACUAGCCGUUGGGAGCAUAUAAGCUCUGAGUGGCGCAGCUAACGCGAUAAGUUGACCGCCUGGGGAGUACGCCGGCAACGGUAAAACUCAAAUGAAUUGACGGGGGCCCGCACAAGCGGUGGAGCAUGUGGUUUAAUUCGAUGCAACGCGAAGAACCUUACCAGGCCUUGACAUCCUGCGAAUCCUUUAGAGAUAGAGGAGUGCCUUCGGGAACGCAGUGACAGGUGCUGCAUGGCUGUCGUCAGCUCGUGUCGUGAGAUGUUGGGUUAAGUCCCGUAACGAGCGCAACCCUUGUCCUUAGUUGCUAGCAGGUAAUGCUGAGAACUCUAAGGAGACUGCCGGUGACAAACCGGAGGAAGGUGGGGACGACGGUCAAGUCAUCAUGGCCCUUACGGCCUGGGCUACACACGUGCUACAAUGGAACGCACAGAGGGCAGCAAACCCGCGAGGGGGAGCGAAUCCCACAAAACGUUCGUAGUCCGG